rnacentral:rRNA from 1 species
AGUGAACGCUGGCGGUAGGCCUAACACAUGCAAGUCGAACGGCAGCACAGUAAGAGCUUGCUCUUACGGGUGGCGAGUGGCGGACGGGUGAGGAAUACAUCGGAAUCUACUUUUUCGUGGGGGAUAACGUAGGGAAACUUACGCUAAUACCGCAUACGACCUACGGGUGAAAGCAGGGGAUCUUCGGACCUUGCGCGAUUGAAUGAGCCGAUGUCGGAUUAGCUAGUUGGCGGGGUAAAGGCCCACCAAGGCGACGAUCCGUAGCUGGUCUGAGAGGAUGAUCAGCCACACUGGAACUGAGACAUGGUCCAGACUCCUACGGGAGGCAGCAGUGGGGAAUAUUGGACAAUGGGCGCAAGCCUGAUCCAGCCAUACCGCGUGGGUGAAGAAGGCCUUCGGGUUGUAAAGCCCUUUUGUUGGGAAAGAAAAGCAGCAGGUUAAUACCCCGCUGUUCUGACGGUACCAAAAGAAUAAGCACCGGCUAACUUCGUG